UUGUUGAUCUGAUCCCAGACCUGCUCACUCUCAGCUGCUAUUAGAGGGAAAUUCUGCUGAAGCUGACGUUGCUGAUUUCCCCUGAAGGGUUGACUGAAGUAAAAGUGAAAGUAUGCACAAUGCUUUCCACACUGAAAACCGUUUGGUUAUUUGUUCAGUUUCUCUAAAGAAUACACUACCACAUCAGUGGAUGGAUUUCUUUGUUCAGACAUAACUUCCAUGGAGGAUGGCUACGUUAUUUAAGGGGUUUUCACUGCCAUCUCAUCUCUGUAAUGGGGUAGGACCAACAGUUGAGCAUUGUGGGUUAACAACCUGCAGGAUUUCAAAGGUAUGUUUGAAGCACGAGAAGGAGGAAGAAGGCAGGAUGGCCGUCUGUCAGGAGACAGGGACAGUCUCUGGGAAUUGUGCAAAUUUACAUCGAGGAUAUGGAAACUGAUAUCACAAUUUACACAGUUUUACAUCUGCUUUUAAUGUAUUACAUGUAAUUUGCAGGGUUUUUUUUUUUAUGUCUACAUGUUAUCAACCGCAGGACCUGAGCCCAUACAUUGUCAAUAAAUUCAUACUUUUCAUUUACUAUUUUCAUUCUGACAUAUUUUAACCUGAUCUUUGACCUGAAACUUUCACAGGACAUGGUUUUGUGAUAGGAUAAAAACAUAAAUGAGACCUUAAUGAUAAGUAAGGCAUCGUAAACAGAACAAAAGAAAUUAUUCAGGUAGAGUUGUUGCAUGCAAUGUUUAACACACAGCUGCACGGUAUCAGCCUGACCACAGUUUCGUAAAUUAUUCACUUGUUAUGUAGCCUGUUAGCGUGAUUCUCAGUCAGAGUAUAAUUACAUAAUGUCUUCAAACAUUAGGGUGAGAAAUCAAACCUCCGUAUGAAGCCAUAGUGUUUUUUAUUUUAAAAAAUAUUGCUUCUGUAAAAAAUGUUGGUUGGAUCAUAGUCCCAUCAAUAACUGUCUUUUUCUCUUCAUAUAAGUGUAAUGUAUGCCACAAUUGCUACAAUAAAACUGUACAAAUAUGGAAAAA